rnacentral:lncRNA from 1 species
CCUAUUUCAAUCCAUUAUGAUUUUAGAGCUGUAAUAGAGUUUUGCAGAAAGAAACUUAUAAGUUCAAAGAUUAGUAGACAUAUAAAAAUAAGACAAAAGCCUAUAAGAAAACAAAAAAUCCGUGUUAUUAUUUCUUUGUCUUUUGUAAAAACUAACUAUAAUCUUGUAGAUUGCCUUACUAAAGGCCUAAAUAGGACUAAGGUCUUAGAGUUAUCGAGGAAGAUGGGACUUAGCAUAUAAUGGG